CUCUAAAGGAAUCAUGGUGGAAGGGAAGGACUACCUACCUCACGGACCAAAACCCUCAAUUUCCAUGUGUUCUUUCUCUCGCAGGGGCCCUCAACUUUAUGCCCAAUACCCUAAAGGAUGUGAAACACUGCCAGGCCCUUCCCUAGGAGUGACACUUACACUGUCCCAGGCAUACUGCCUGGAAACUGGUCACCUGAGACUUCACACCACGGUCUAGGGAAAGCUGAGAUCAGAGCUCCUGCUGGUGUGGAGAACUGGAGAGAAGAACCUUUCUGUUCCAGAUCAGCGUGAAUCAGGCAGAUGGAGACUACAGCAUUGCCCUCAAUGCUGGCAAAGCUCAUCUGAAACAGUUAAUUCAGAAGAUCCCUCACUGGACAUUCCUACUGUUGUCUCCCACAGACACAGGACAGUGUUGAGGUCUGCAGAGGAGGCACUCAGUGUGAAGCCCUGCUUCAAGCUGUCACACCGCAGGAGUGUGCUGAGCUACAGACCCCACAAAGGGAACUCUGGCUCCACCCCAAGCCGCGGAAGCUGUGAGUGUAGAUACAGCUCACUCGCCCACCUGUGGGCACGGAUCCACAAAAGGACCUGCUGGGAUGCAUGGGCCUGGUUGCUGAUUUUGAACUGCAUGUCCUUAUAGCUCAUGGCUUGUAGCAGUGAAAAGCAAGUGAAGGGAUGUGGAAGACAGCCUGAUGGCCCCUUAUGAAUUUUCCUUUGGGGACCAGGAUAUCUCCACCCAUCUUUGGAACUAGGAAGGCUAAAGGAUUCUCCAUCAUUUGUAAAAAUCAGUGCUCGAUAAAUAUUGUGAUAAUUAUAAAGUUGUAAGAUAUUUUCAGAUUGCUGCAUGAAAAGAAUAAAUGAUAACACCAAAUGCUACCAGGCAGGCAGGAAUAACAGCAGUUAAUAAAUAAAGAGAGGUGAAUAUGGGCCAGGUAUGUGUUAAUUUAUUUAAUUCCAGCAACAUGAUGGAUCAAAUUUAAUGUCAUUUGUUUUAAUUCUAUAGAUGUGAAGCAUAAGACUCAAGAGGUUAAGUAAGUCACCAAAGUUUACACAAUGAACAGGAGAAAUUCAAAUCCAAGUGGUCUGGCUACAGAGCCUAUGACCCUAACCCCUAAUAAUACUGUCUCUCCACUGCUGGGAACUGUGAGACAUAUGUGUGCUUUGCUUUACCAAAAAAAUUAGUUGAGAACCCCAAAACUUUUAAAAGGUGUUCACAUGACCCUUUCAAAAUUGGAAUCUUCUUUCUGUUGAAGAAAUGCUUAGCUCUGCAAUUCAGAAUUCCACAAAGAGACAAACAGUAGUGGAGUCACAGAAAAUGUUCAACAGUCUAAAAACUAUAAUGACAAUAAAAAUGAUUUUAGGUAAGAACUAAUAAGAAAAACUUAAUGGUAUUAGAAGUCAGAGCAUGAGAUUAAUAACACGAUACUGAAUUGAACAUGAUAGAUCUGAUAUGCAGCAAGCUUACAAAGGAAUGACCAGAAAUUACCAUACUAGAAACAGCCACAAAAAUAAAGACGCCCACCUGUCAGUUGUAACAAUACUGAGUAUACAGCAAGCCUCUGAUAAAUACCGAUGGGCGGACUGUUCAAUAAUUAUAGUUUUGAGAAACUCUUCUUGAAGUCAAUUCUUCAUUUUUUUUCUCGACCCUUAUUAGAGCUUUUAAGUCUCAAACAACUCUUGAAUAACUUUG
rnacentral:lncRNA from 1 species